rnacentral:ncRNA from 1 species
AUGUUUAUGAAAGUAGAGGUUAGCAUGGCCCCUUGACAAGGAUGGAAAAGUCUCAGGUCUAGUAACAGGCGCUGGUCAAGGCACGGUCAUGUAUUUUG